rnacentral:sRNA from 1 species
UAUAAAUCCGAAUGUAUAUUUAGUUUAAAAAUAAAUUCAGGCCAGCAGCUCUAGAAUAUUAUCUACCCCCAUGCCCCAUACUCAUUCGGUGCGGUAGCUGCUGCGAAUUCGGUGCGUUGUCCUGGCGUCUGGCUGCCGACGAUGCCAAUGCCCAUCUACCACGUGUAUAACUUAUUUAUGAGGCUUUUACAUACAACUACAAAGAGAUACGAGAGACAGAGAGCCCAAAGGCUGAGCCUGGUAUAUUUGGUGGCUGUGACUCUGGCCAAACUGGUGAACAUAAAAGGCAAAGGCAAACGGCAAUGGCAGUUGAAUCAGUCGCAGCAUGACCAAAAUAUUUGCAAAUGGACUCAACAACUUGGCCCGAAACAUGUCCUUUGUGUGCGCUUACACAUGUGAGUUGAAUGGGCUGACUGAGCUGAAUGAGUUGCGUGAGUGUGUUGAGGUUGAGUGCAGAGUAGGGUCUGGUCACUGAAAGCAUAGUUUUGGCAAUUUCUUUUCUUGUUCGUGGGUACACAGAAUAAUUGCGUAUUUCUAUGUGUGUACGUAUGAGUGGGUAUGGCAUAUCGGGGCGACAGACUGUCAUCCUUUUUCUGCCACUGCCAGAGUCUUGUCUUGUGGCCAUGAAAUGGCAAUGGCAAUGCCAGCCAUUAAAAAUGUAGAGUAGGCGGCUACGUUUUUUUUUUUUUUUACGGGUAAGCGUUGUGUAAAUUUGCAAACUCCAUGAC